AAGCGGCAACAGCUCAAAUUUGAAACCUGGCGCUUGCGUCCGGAUUGUAAUUUGCAGAGGAUGCUUCUGGGCAGCGGCCGGUCUAAGUUCCUUGGAAAAGGACGUCAUAGAGGGUGAGAACCCCGUAUGUGACCGGCGCGCACCCUCCACGUAGCUCCUUCGACGAGUCGAGUUGUUUGGGAAUGCAGCUCUAAAUGGGAGGUAAAUUUCUUCUAAAGCUAAAUAUUGGCCCGAGACCGAUAGCGCACAAGUAGAGUGAUCGAAAGAUGAAAAGCACUUUGGAAAGAGAGUUAAAAAGCACGUGAAAUUGUUGAAAGGGAAGCGCUUCCCACCAGACUCCGCGGCGGUGUUCCGCCGGUCUUCUGACCGGUCUACUCGCCGCCGUGGGGCCAGCAUCGUCUGGGGCCGCCGGAUAAGACCGCAGGAAUGUAGCUCAUUGAGUGUUAUAGCCUGCGGGGAUGCGGCGCGCCCCGGGCGAGGUCCGCGCUUCGGCAAGGAUGCUGGCGUAAUGGUGGGCAGCGGCCCGUCUUGAAACACGGACCAAGGAGUCUAACAUCUAUGCGAGUGUUCGGGUGUCAAACCCCUACGCGUAAUGAAAGUGAACGGAGGUGGGAGCUUCGGCGCACCAUCGACCGAUCCUGAUGUCCUCGGAUGGAUUUGAGUAAGAGCAUAGCUGUUGGGACCCGAAAGAUGGUGAACUAUGCCUGAAUAGGGUGAAGCCAGAGGAAACUCUGGUGGA
rnacentral:rRNA from 1 species